CUUAUUUACGUAAGACUGUGGGAGCAGACUGCAGGGACAGGGCACUGCUGACAUCUCGGUGUUAGCCCACUGAGACAGAUUUUGGACUUCCGAUCUCUAGAACUCUGAGGCUUCAGAAUAGGAAGUAAGAUCCUGCUGUUGUUGCUUAGUCUGGAAAAUUCUCUUCUCACAGGCACACAGCCAGGAGGAUUAGGGUGAAAGAGGAGGUUUCUGAUCCCACUGUCCUGUAUCCAUCAGACCUGGUGUUUCAGGCUGGGCUUCGGUUCUUUGGAAGAAAGCUCUUCAGGGACAGCCAAAGAAGGCUAGAAUUCACCGAGGGCUCCCCUUCCCCUGCCCUCCAGACGCUGCUCUGCUCUUCACUCCUACAGUGUGGGGCUCUUCAGACUUAGAGCAAACAGCUGUCCUGUAGGCUCCGUGGGGAUCACCAAUGCAGCACGCCUCUGGUUGAAAUUGGCCCAGUCACGCCGGUCACAUGUGAAACAUGAUGGCAAUUAGGGGGCGGCUGACCAGUUGUCUGAGGACUGACCAAUCAGG